AGUGAAUUGCUGAAAGCGGGGCCCAUUGCGCUCGUGGCUGCAUGAGUGGCGGUGCGGACUUUGAUUCCACGUGAAGAAAGCUUGGUCAUGUGCAAGACGGGCCGGUCCAUGUGCUGAACUUGUGAAGGCGCGCGAGCUUGGUGAAGCGGUCCACGUUGAAGUGAUAAUGGGCUGUCAGCUUCGGCCACCAUGUGCGUGAGAAUGAAAUGCACUGGUCCAUUUACGAGAAUGGGUCCAUAUGCCCGAGAAUGAAGUGCGUGAAGUGCUUGAUCCAUUUGCGCGAUGGAUGUGCGGGAGUGGUGUGAGCUGU
rnacentral:lncRNA from 1 species